rnacentral:rRNA from 1 species
AGUGGAUGGGGAGCAACCUAGUUGUGCGCGUGUAAAGGUAGUGCCAAGAAAAGCGAUGAUCAUGUUGAAAAUCAAUUCCCGGUACCCGAAACCGACACAGGUGGGCAAGUAGAGAAUACUAAGGGGCGCGAGGUAACUCUCUCCAAGGAACUCGGCAAAAUGACCCCGUAACUUAGGGAGAAGGGGUGCCACCGAGAGGUGGUCGCAGUGAAGAGGCCCAGGCGACUGUUUAGCAAAAACAUAGGUCUCCGCAAACUCGAAAGAGGAGGUAUAGGGGCUGACGCCUGCCCAGUGCCGGAAGGUUAAAGAAGUUGGUCAGUUUUAGGAUGAAGCUAGCGACUGAAGCCCCGGUGAACGGCGGCCGUAACUAUAACGGUCCUAAGGUAGCGAAAUUCCUUGUCGGGUAAGUUCCGACCCGCACGAAAGGCGUAACGAUCUGGGCGCUGUCUCGGAGAGAGGCUCGGCGAAAUAGGAUUGUCUGUGAAGAUACGGACUACCUGCAUUUGGACAGAAAGACCCUAUGAAGCUUUACUAUAGCUUGGAAUUGUGUUCGGGCUUCCUGUGCGCAGGAUAGGUGGGAGGCGUAGAAGGUAUUCUUGUGGGGAUACUGGAGCCAACGGUGAGAUACCACUCUCAGGAGGCUAGAAUUCUAACUUAAUUAAGGACAGUUUCAGGUGGGUAGUUUGACUGGGGCGGUCGCCUCCAAAAAGGUAACGGAGGCGUACAAAGGUUCCCUCAGACUGGUUGGAAAUCAGUCGAAGAGUGCAAAGGCAGAAGGGAGCUUGACUGCGAGAAGUACAGUUCGAGCAGGGUGGAAACACGGUCUUAGUGAUCCGACGGUGCUGUGUGGAAGGGCCGUCGCUCAACGGAUAAAAGUUACUCUAGGAUAACAGGCUGAUCUCCCCCAAGAGUUCACAUCGACGGGGAGGUUUGGCACCUCGAUGUCGGCUCAUCGCAACCUGGGGCGGAAGUACGUCCCAAGGGUUGGGCUGUUCGCCCAUUAAAGCGGUACGUGGGCUGGGUUCAGAACGUCGUGAGACAGUUCGGUCCAUAUCCGAUGUAGGCGUGAGAAUAUUGAGAGGAGCCUUCCUUAGUACGAGAGGACCGGGAAGGACGCACCGCUGGUGUACCUGUUAUGAUGCCAAUUGUAAACGCAGGGUAGCCAAGUGCGGAGAGGAUAACCGCUGAAAGCAUCUAAGUGGGAAGCCCACCUCAAGAUGAGUAUUCUGGUGUAAGGUCACGGGAAGACGACCCGUAAAUAGGCACGAGGUGGAAGUGCAGAGAUGUAUGAAGCCGAAGUGUACUAAUAGACCGUCGGC